UGCAUAAUAUAUUCCCAGCCUCAUUGCAAAACCUUGUAAGCACCUUUAAGCUCUCCCUCCUCAGCACCACUGCCCCAUGGCAACCUUCAACCGUGAAAACGUCCAAUCCUUCUCAGCCGAAUGGAUAGCCCAACAACAUCAAGACCUGAAGGAACUUCUAGACGAACUUUCUACCAACUCUGAGAGUGAUAGUGAGAAGCUGAAGCUUCUCAGUGACAAGAGCAUGAAACGCUUUGAAGAAUACUAUGAGAGGCGAGCUCUAUUGGCACAACAAGAUGCACCCUUACUUCUGUCUCCCGCCUGGUGCACCCCCUUUGAGAAUGCCUUCUUCUGGAUAGGUGGAUCCAGGCCUUCCCUCUAUGUUAGGAUCAUCUACUUGGUUUGUGGGUUGGAAGUUGAUGGAUCCCAACUCGCUGAGCUUUUCCAAAGCAAGAGGAAAGGCAGCUUGUUGGAGAUAUCGGCCCAGCAGAUUGAUAUGAUCGACGCUUUGCACUGCAAGACUAUCAGAGAGGAACAGAAGAUAUCUGCUAGGAUGGCGAGUUUACAGGAGGAAAUAGCAGACGUGCCGCUAGCACUUGUGGCCCAGGAAGUGGGGGAGUCGAGCCUGCAGGAGUUGGAUCAUGCCAUGGACACUCAUUACCUCUCGUUGGCAAGCAUUCUCACCGAUGCCGAUCAGCUGAGGCUGAGCACGCUCAAGGAGUUGAUCGGCCUCCUCAAACCGUUGCAGGCUGCUGAGCUUCUCUUUGCCAUCAAGAAACUUACCCUCUCCAUGCACGAGUGGGGCAAGCGAAAGGAUCACCAGCAGGGCAAACGAGACUAUCAUAUCAUCGGACUAAGGCUUGUGUGCUGAAAUCAUCUUAAUGUUUUUGCAUUGAUGCGUCGCCAGCAUCGUUGUGUGUGUGGCCAUUGCUAUGGCUUUGUUGUUUUCUUUUCUCAUACUUGUCUGGUAGGGUGUUCCGUGAGCAUGGUGUUUAUCCGAGCUCUUUUCAAGAUGGGCUGAUGCAGGAACGAGCACUAAAUCACAAUCAUUGAUGUACGAUCAGAGCAACGCCAUCCUUGGAGCAAGUCACAAGGCGUCAAUUUCGUCCAAGAGAGAGACCGCGGAGGUGGACCGGCAGAUGGCGGAGUGAGGCCGCCCGAGAAGAAGAGUCUUCACUAAGACAACCUUAUAUUUGAUGAUUUCCUUUGUUG